rnacentral:rRNA from 1 species
GACGAACGCUGGCGGCGUGCCUAAUACAUGCAAGUCGAACGCUGAAGGAGGAGCUUGCUUCUCUGGAUGAGUUGCGAACGGGUGAGUAACGCGUAGGUAACCUGCCUGGUAGCGGGGGAUAACUAUUGGAAACGAUAGCUAAUACCGCAUAAUAGUAGAUGUUGCAUGACAUUUGCUUAAAAGGUGCAAUUGCAUCACUACCAGAUGGACCUGCGUUGUAUUAGCUAGUUGGUGGGGUAACGGCUCACCAAGGCGACGAUACAUAGCCGACCGGAGAGGGUGAUCGGCCACACUGGGACUGAGACACGGCCCAGACGCCUACGGGAGGCAGCAGUAGGGAAUCUUCGGCAAUGGACGGAAGUCUGACCGAGCAACGCCGCGUGAGUGAAGAAGGGUGUCGGAUCGUAAAGCUCGGUUGUAAGAGAAGAACGAGUGUGCGAGUGGAAAGUUCACACUGUGACGGUAGCUUAACAGAAAGGGACGGCUAACUACGUG